AGUGUUCAGAAAAAUGUUAUUAGGUGGAGGACUCGGCUCUAACGCCGAAGAAGGAUGCGACAAGCUGCAUUAAGCUCUGGCUAGCUGCAUGUAAGCUUUGAACCAGAGAUCUCUGAAUGAGACUUCUCAUUAGAUCCGAAAGGAUGGGCAACGCAGGGAAUUGAAACGUCUUAGUACCUGCAGGAAAAGAAAUCAACGAGAUGCUGUUAAUAAGAGCGACUGAAAACAGUAAAGAGCAAACUGAAUCUUUUAUUGAAAGAUAAAAGAGAUGUGGUGUUGAAGACUGCCUUUUAGUCCUACUGUUUGACUUGAACUCUUCUGGAAAGGAGGACGCAACAGGGUGAUAGUCCCGUAAAGGUAAAACAGAGGAUGUGGCAGUAUCUUGAGUACUGUUUACCGGAUACUAAACAGGAAUUUGGGUGGCAUCAACAUCCAACUCUAAACACGUAUAGAGUCCGAUAGCGUAGAAGUACAACGAUGGAAAGUUGAAAAGAACCCUUAACAGGAAGUUAAAAGAACCUGAAACCUAAUAACAAUGGUGGGGUGCGGCUCUUAGGAGUUGCACCAUGCGUUUCGAAUAACGUGCCAGGGAGUGCAUUUGAGUGGCGAGGGUAAUCUUACAAAGAGAACCCGAAGCGAAAGCAAUUGCCCGCAAGCAAUGAGGGGCAAGGUGUGAAAGUGCCUUUAGUCACUUGAAUGCGACCCGAAGCCAGACGAUCUAACCCAGGGUAAGGCGAAGCGGGGGUAAAACCUCGUGGAGGCCUGCAACUCUGCUACGAGCAAGUGCUAUCCUAACCUUGGGCUAGGGGUGAAAAGCCAAUCGAGUCUGGUGAUAGCUGGUUCCUGCUGAAGUUGGCCGCAGUCAAGUCUCGAGUGAGAUAGCUAAGAUGGUAGAGAUACUGAUUUUGGGUUUAGGCUUCGAAAGAAGUCGACCCUUUGUCAAACUCCGAAUAUUUUAGCGUCUAAGACCUCGGGAGACGGGGAUUCGGGGUAAACUUGAAUUCCGAGAGGGGAACAACCCAGACUAUAGUUAAGGUCCCAAAAACCAAUUAAGUGUUAUAGGCUGAAGAGCGUCAAUAGUCUAAGACAGCGAGGAGGUUGGCUCAGAAGCAGCCAUCCUAUAAUAAGUGCGUAACAGCUUACUCGUCAAGACUAUUGGCCUCCAAAAUGGACGGGGCUAAAUUGGUUACCGAUACUAUAGACCAUCUUCGGAUGUGUGGUAAGCAGGCGUUCUAUGAGGGCAGAAAUAUUCUCGCGAGAGGAUGUGGACCUCAUAGAAAUGAAAAUCCUGGCGUCAGUAGGAUCAUAGCAGUGUUAGAAUCACUGCCACUGAAAGGGCAAGGGUUCCUUGACAAUGCAAAUCAGUCAAGGGUAAGUUAGUCCUAACUAAGCUCCCAAUUGGAGUUUAUUAGGAAAGGGAAAAAGGUUAAUAUUCCUUUACUGUUCAAGUAUGUGCGGCAACGCAAGUUCAGUUUCUGACAUUUUUGGCUGGACCAACAUGGUUAUUUAUCAUGUUAAUCAGAAUAAAUCUGGGGAGUAUCGUAACGAUGAGAACCAGAUUAAAUCUGAGAUGAGUAUUCCUAUGGAGUAUUUGGUUAAGGCCAGGAGUCCAUGAAAAAGGAACUGAAAAAAAUCUUGAAUAACUAUACCCAGAACCAGCACAGGUGCCCCUAGGUGAGUAGCCUAAAGUGUGAAGGAUUAAUUCAAUUGAGGGAACUCGGCAAAUUAGCCCCGUAGCUUAGGUAGAAGGGGUCCCUGCGGUCGUGUUGAAUAAAUGCGAUUGCAAGGUGCAAUAACAAGGAGGGUCCGACUGUUUAACAAAAACUUAGCUUUCCGCUAGCCCGCAAGGGUGCGUAUGGAAGGUGACGUCUGCCCAAUGCUUGUAUCUCAAACCUCUAUUCAAGGAGGCUAAGGACAGGUCAAUGGCGGGAGUAACUAUAACUCUCUUAAGGUAGCGAAAUACCUUGUCGUUUGAAUGACGACGCGCAUGAAUGACGUAACGAGAUCCUCGCUGUCCCCAAUUGAAGUCCUCUGAACACUCUUUUCUGGUGUAAAAGCCAGAGAUUUCCAGUGGGAAGUGAAGACCCCGUGAAACUUUACUGUAGUCUGUUAUUGCAACGUGAGUUUUGGUGUAUAGCGUAAGUGGGAGUCGUCUGAAGCUUAAUCGUUAGGUUAAGUGUAGACGCCAAUGUAACACCACUCAUUAAGACUUACGUCGCUAAUUAACGAAAGUUAAGACAGUGAUAGAUGGACAGUUUGGCUGGGGUGGCACUCUGCUGAAAAAGUAUCAGCAGAGCCCAAUGGCUGACUCAUUCGGGUCAGAAAUCCGAAGUUGAGUGCGAGGGCAAAAGUCAGCCUGAUUGGAUUUCCACUAAGAAAGAAUCCAAACAUGAAAGUGUGGCCUAGCGAACCUCUAUGUCCUCCUUGCUGGGGGCUAGAGAUGACCGAAAAGUUACUCCGGGGAUAACAGAGUCGUCGCGCCUGAGAGUUCACAUCGACGGCGCGGCUUGCUACAUCGAUGUCGGCUCUACCUAUCCUGGCCGUGCAGAAGCGGCCAAGGGUGCGGGUGUUCACCGAUUAAAAGGGAUCGUGAGCUGGGUUCAGAACGUUGUGAGACAGUUUGUUUAAUAUCUACUGGAAAUGCUUUGUGUCUGAAAGGAAGAAUGCUCUAGUACGAGAGGAACGGGCAUUCGAAGCCUCUGGUGAAUCAGUUGUCUGUAAAGGCACGCUGAACAGCUACGCUUUUAAGGGAUAAGAGCUGAAAGCAUCUAAGCUCGAAGCCCUCCUUGAAAAUAGACACAAUGAAUACGAGCAAAAGACUCGUUUAAUGGAAUCGAUGUGUACGUGCAAAGCUUCGGCAAUGCAUUCAGCAUGCGAUUUCCAACAGUUCGACUCUUGAAUACU
rnacentral:rRNA from 1 species